UCACUGCAGGACUAGUGGUUAGGCCUCAGCACUCUCACCGCUGCAGCCCGGGUUCGACUCCUGGCCAGGGAA